AAGGUUAAGCCUCACGGUUCAUUAGUACCGGUUAGCUCAACGCAUCGCUGCGCUUACACACCCGGCCUAUCAACGUCGUCGUCUUCAACGUUCCUUCAGGACCCUUAAAGGGUCAGGGAGAACUCAUCUCGGGGCAAGUUUCGUGCUUAGAUGCUUUCAGCACUUAUCUCUUCCGCAUUUAGCUACCGGGCAGUGCCAUUGGCAUGACAACCCGAACACCAGUGAUGCGUCCACUCCGGUCCUCUCGUACUAGGAGCAGCCCCCUCAGUUCUCCAGCGCCCACGGCAGAUAGGGACCGAACUGUCUCACGACGCUCUAAACCCAGCUCGCGUACCACUUUAAAUGGCGAACAGCCAUACCCUUGGGACCUACUUCAGCCCCAGGAUGUGAUGAGCCGACAUCGAGGUGCCAAACACCGCCGUCGAUAUGAACUCUUGGGCGGUAUCAGCCUGUUAUCCCCGGAGUACCUUUUAUCCGUUGAGCGAUGGCCCUUCCAUUCAGAACCACCGGAUCACUAUGACCUGCUUUCGCACCUGCUCGCGCCGUCACGCUCGCAGUCAAGCUGGCUUAUGCCAUUGCACUAACCUCCUGAUGUCCGACCAGGAUUAGCCAACCUUCGUGCUCCUCCGUUACUCUUUAGGAGGAGACCGCCCCAGUCAAACUACCCACCAGACACUGUCCGCAACCCGGAUUACGGGCCCACGUUAGAACAUCAAACAUUAAAGGGUGGUAUUUCAAGGUCGGCUCCAUGCAGACUGGCGUCCACACUUCAAAGCCUCCCACCUAUCCUACACAUCAAGGCUCAAUGUUCAGUGUCAAGCUAUAGUAAAGGUUCACGGGGUCUUUCCGUCUUGCCGCGGGUACACUGCAUCUUCACAGCGAGUUCAAUUUCACUGAGUCUCGGGUGGAGACAGCCUGGCCAUCAUUACGCCAUUCGUGCAGGUCGGAACUUACCCGACAAGGAAUUUCGCUACCUUAGGACCGUUAUAGUUACGGCCGCCGUUUACCGGGGCUUCGAUCAAGAGCUUCGCGUUGCCGCUAACCCCAUCAAUUAACCUUCCGGCACCGGGCAGGCGUCACACCGUAUACGUCCACUUUCGUGUUUGCACAGUGCUGUGUUUUUAAUAAACAGUUGCAGCCAGCUGGUAUCUUCGACUGAUUUCAGCUCCACGAGCAAGUCGCUUCACCUACAUAUCAGCGUGCCUUCUCCCGAAGUUACGGCACCAUUUUGCCUAGUUCCUUCACCCGAGUUCUCUCAAGCGCCUUGGUAUUCUCUACCUGACCACCUGUGUCGGUUUGGGGUACGAUUUGAUGUUACCUGAUGCUUAGAGGCUUUUCCUGGAAGCAGGGCAUUUGUCGCUUCAGCACCGUAGUGCCUCGUCAUCACGCCUCAGCCUUGAUUUUCCGGAUUUGCCUGGAAAACCAGCCUACACGCUUAAACCGGGACAACCGUCGCCCGGCCAACAUAGCCUUCUCCGUCCCCCUUCGCAGUAACACCAAGUACAGGAAUAUUAACCUGUUUCCCAUCGACUACGCCUUUCGGCCUCGCCUUAGGGGUCGACUCACCCUGCCCCGAUUAACGUUGGACAGGAACCCUUGGUCUUCCGGCGAGCGGGCUUUUCACCCGCUUUAUCGUUACUUAUGUCAGCAUUCGCACUUCUGAUACCUCCAGCAACCCUCACAGGCCACCUUCACAGGCUUACAGAACGCUCCCCUACCCAACAACACAUAGUGUCGCUGCCGCAGCUUCGGUGCAUGGUUUAGCCCCGUUACAUCUUCCGCGCAGGCCGACUCGACCAGUGAGCUAUUACGCUUUCUUUAAAUGAUGGCUGCUUCUAAGCCAACAUCCUGGCUGUCUGGGCCUUCCCACAUCGUUUCCCACUUAACCAUGACUUUGGGACCUUAGCUGGCGGUCUGGGUUGUUUCCCUCUUCACGACGGACGUUAGCACCCGCCGUGUGUCUCCCGUGAUAACAUUCUCCGGUAUUCGCAGUUUGCAUCGGGUUGGUAAGUCGGGAUGACCCCCUUGCCGAAACAGUGCUCUACCCCCGGAGAUGAAUUCACGAGGCGCUACCUAAAUAGCUUUCGGGGAGAACCAGCUAUCUCCCGGUUUGAUUGGCCUUUCACCCCCAGCCACAAGUCAUCCGCUAAUUUUUCAACAUUAGUCGGUUCGGUCCUCCAGUUAGUGUUACCCAACCUUCAACCUGCCCAUGGCUAGAUCACCGGGUUUCGGGUCUAUACCCUGCAACUUAACGCCCAGUUAAGACUCGGUUUCCCUUCGGCUCCCCUAUUCGGUUAACCUUGCUACAGAAUAUAAGUCGCUGACCCAUUAUACAAAAGGUACGCAGUCACCCCAUUAAGAGGCUCCCACUGCUUGUACGUACACGGUUUCAGGUUCUUUUUCACUCCCCUCGCCGGGGUUCUUUUCGCCUUUCCCUCACGGUACUGGUUCACUAUCGGUCAGUCAGGAGUAUUUAGCCUUGGAGGAUGGUCCCCCCAUAUUCAGACAGGAUACCACGUGUCCCGCCCUACUCAUCGAGCUCACAAUAUGUGCAUUUUUGUGUACGGGGCUGUCACCCUGUAUCGCGCGCCUUUCCAGACGCUUCCACUAACACACACACUGAUUCAGGCUCUGGGCUCCUCCCCGUUCGCUCGCCGCUACUGGGGGAAUCUCGGUUGAUUUCUUUUCCUCGGGGUACUUAGAUGUUUCAGUUCCCCCGGUUCGCCUCAUUAACCUAUGGAUUCAGUUAAUGAUAGUGUGACGAAUCACACUGGGUUUCCCCAUUCGGAAAUCGCCGGUUAUAACGGUUCAUAUCACCUCACCGACGCUUAUCGCAGAUUAGCACGUCCUUCAUCGCCUCUGACUGCCAGGGCAUCCACCGUGUACGCUUAGUCGCUUAA
rnacentral:rRNA from 1 species